CUUGGUCAUUUAGAGGAAGUAAAAGUCGUAACAAGGUUUCCGUAGGUGAACCUGCGGAAGGAUCAUUACAGAGAUCAUGCCCUUCGGGGUAGACCUCCCACCCUUUGUUAUACCAACGAAUGUUGCUUUGGCGAGCCGCCCUAGGCCGUCGGCCUCGGCUGACGCGUGCUCGCCAGAGACCCCAAACUCUGUAUUAGUGUCGUCUGAGUACUAUAUAAUAGUUAAAACUUUCAACAACGGAUCUCUUGGUUCUGGCAUCGAUGAAGAACGCAGCGAAAUGCGAUAAGUAAUGUGAAUUGCAGAAUUCAGUGAAUCAUCGAAUCUUUGAACGCACAUUGCGCCCCUUGGUAUUCCGGGGGGCAUGCCUGUUCGAGCGUCAUUUCAACCCUCAAGCUCUGCUUGGUCUUGGGCCCUGCCGGCAACGGCUGGCCUCAAAAGUAGUGGCGGUACCAUCGUGCUCUCAGCGUAGUAAUUCUUCUCGCUGUUGGGUCCCGGUGGACGCUGGCCAGCAACCCCCCAUUUCUAAUGUUGACCUCGGAUCAGGUAGGGAUACCCGCUGAACUUAAGCAUAUCAAUAAGCGGAGGA
rnacentral:rRNA from 1 species